UACGGAGGGUGCGAGCGUUGUCCGGAAUCAUUGGGCGUAAAGGGCGCGUAGGUGGCCCGGUCAGUUCGUGGUGAAAGCGCGGGGCUCAACCCUGCGUCGGCCAUGAAUACUGCCGCGGCUGGAGCACUGUAGAGGCAGGCGGAAUUCCGGGUGUAGCGGUGGAAUGCGUAGAGAUCCGGAAGAACACCGGGGGCGAAGGCGGCCUGCUGGGCAGUUGCUGACACUGAGGCGCGACAGCGUGGGGAGCAAACAGG
rnacentral:rRNA from 1 species